GGAGCUUUCUGUGAUGGGCUCUCUGUAAGUCUAUGGAACGACUGAUGAGGUUCUCAGACCCCUUUCUACAAAACGAGGAAUCGAGUUUUCUGUAAACCUCUGUGUCACCUGGUUCAAGAACUGCUUCCUUCCCUCAUCUCUGUGACUGCAGCUGGGACCACUUUGAGUCCCUACGUUCUCUCAUUUGGGCUCAUCUAGCAGCGGCUCUAAACAGGAUGUAAUCCUGCAACACCUGGAGACACCGCCAGCUGGCUCGGCUGUUACGGCUGUUACGGUGGAAGGAGGAUACUGACAUUGCAGAGAUGCUGACAAAUGCUCUGUGGUCACAGGAGAGAAUGGCCGGGUCCCAAACGCCAGGAGUACCAAGGCUGGGAGAGCCACUCUGCUCUUGGUAGACAGAAUUCCGUAAUUGACACCUCCUCCUUCCCGCCGCUGUGGCAGAGAAUGCCGCCUGGUUCCAGCUGACUGGCCAGAAGAGGGCACCAGACCCCAUUACAGAUGGUUGUGAG